UCCGUAUUUUUCCUAUGUUACUGAUACAUGGUUAUUGGUGUAUAUUGCACUUCAAUAAUCUAAUACCCGUAAUACUAGAAAUUAGACUGACCAUGAAGAUGUAGUUGACCCACGUUAAUCUACUUUCUGCGUGGAGUUUCAGGCUUUUAAACUACUGCAGAUAUUUCUUCUUCAAUGUUUUAGAGCCAGAGGGGUUGUAAUGAUUGAUAUCAGUAUGCAACCAGUACCUAUUUUCCAACAUAUUCUCUAUAACCUAUUCUAUUGUUUUCUCUAAUAUACAUGUUAUUGCCCCCCCUUUUUUUUAAGGCAGUGUCUUCCGUCAUUGGAUCAAGGUGGAGCAUCAUGUUAAGUUUCUAAAGGGAUACAAUGAUUUGGUGUUGUUUAACUCAAACAGCGGGCUUGCAGAUGUUUAAAUGAUGGAGAGGUUCGCAAAGUUGUUACUCGGAGGAGACAUGUCUGGAUGAGGGAAAGGUGUCUGCACUGCCCUUGCUAUCUCAAAUGCCAUCACCAAUCUCUCUGUGUUUUCAAAUAUUGAAGCUAAAUAUGGAGAGGGUUUGAGACUUUUAGACCUAUUGGACCUCUCAAGGUUUGCGUGGUAAGGAAUUUAUGGAGUUAUACAUAU